UCUGUUAGAAGCACAGCUGUGUGUGCUGUCCACCAACAGCACUGGCAACAUUUCUAUGGUGGGCAGGGAGGAUCUUUGGGGAUUUUGGCUCACCUGGCUUCUCUAUUUUCCAGUUUCCAGUCCCAGGAGUAUAGGAUUUGUCCCCAGAGGUUUCCCCCUACUGCUAAAGGUGCUGUAUUUUUCUUCUAAAAAAUUCAACCACAACAUGUUAGAAUUGCUGACAGAGGAAAAAGGCUGCAUUUGCUGUGUUAUCAAGAGCAUGUUUCCAGUAUCUGUGGCCCUUCUCAUCAAGUUCUAGUUCGGAAACCUGGCAAGGAAGCUGAACCUGAGAAAAUACAGGGGGAAAGGUUAUUAAGACAAGUUACAAACCAGAAGCGAAGAUGAGCUAAAUCCACUGCAGUGUUCUGAAUUUCUGUUGGUGCUCUGUAGUAAUCUGUAAUUGCAGACACAUUGUGAUUUACCUUU